rnacentral:rRNA from 1 species
CAGCGCCAUGAGUGGCAAUCGUAAUUAUUGGGCCUAAAGCGUCCGUAGCCGGUUCAAGAAGUCUUUUGUGAAAUCGUUGCGCUCAACGUAACGCUGUGCAAAAGAUACUCUUGGACUUGAAACCGGAGAAGAGUCAGAGGUAUUCUGGGGGGAGCGGUAAAAUGCUAUAAUCCUCGGAGGACCACCUGUGGCGAAAGCGUCUGACUAGAACGGCUUUGACGGUGAGGGACGAAAGCCAGGGGAGCAAACCGGAUUAGAUACCCGAGUAGUCC